GAACCACCCACAGAUGGCUUUGGGUUAUGUUUGCGUUUUACUUGCCAGGUUGGGGGCAUUGUUUAGAUAUCAGCUGUUGGUCAUGCUGAACUGUGAAACAGGCGUCAUUCCUUAAUUGAGCCCAGACUCUUGGGCUCAUGCCCAAGUUCCAGCUCAGGGGGACACCAACAAAGAAAAAAAGUUUCAGAGAGAAAGAGGCGUUUGUAUUGAUUCAAGAGGAUUGAAUCAGGUGGAUUUUCCAUUUAGAAAGCAAAAGAAAAUCAAGACUUCAGCAUUGUGUUUAAAAUGAUGAAGGCAGCCGGGGGCGGU